rnacentral:rRNA from 1 species
AUUGAACGCUGGCGGCAGGCUUAACACAUGCAAGUCGAGCGGAGAUGAGGUGCUUGCACCUUAUCUUAGCGGCGGACGGGUGAGUAAUGCUUAGGAAUCUGCCUAUUAGUGGGGGACAACAUUCCGAAAGGAAUGCUAAUACCGCAUACGCCCUACGGGGGAAAGCAGGGGAUCUUCGGACCUUGCGCUAAUAGAUGAGCCUAAGUCGGAUUAGCUAGUUGGUGGGGUAAAGGCCUACCAAGGCGACGAUCUGUAGCGGGUCUGAGAGGAUGAUCCGCCACACUGGGACUGAGACACGGCCCAGACUCCUACGGGAGGCAGCAGUGGGGAAUAUUGGACAAUGGGGGGAACCCUGAUCCAGCCAUGCCGCGUGUGUGAAGAAGGCCUUAUGGUUGUAAAGCACUUUAAGCGAGGAGGAGGCUACUGAGACUAAUACUCUUGGAUAGUGGACGUUACCCGCAGAAUAAGCACCGGCUAACUCUGUGCCAGCCGCCGCAGUAAUAC